GACGAACGCUGGCGGCGUGCUUAAUACAUGCAAGUCGAACGGAAAGGCCCUGCUUUUGUGGGGUGCUCGAGUGGCGAACGGGUGAGUAACACGUGAGUAACCUGCCCUUGACUUUGGGAUAACUUCAGGAAACUGGGGCUAAUACCGGAUAGGAGCUCCUGCUGCAUGGUGGGGGUUGGAAAGUUUCGGCGGUUGGGGAUGGACUCGCGGCUUAUCAGCUUGUUGGUGGGGUAGUGGCUUACCAAGGCUUUGACGGGUAGCCGGCCUGAGAGGGUGACCGGCCACAUUGGGCCUGAGAUACGGCCCAGACUCCUACGGGCGGCAGCAGUGGGGAAUAUUGCACAAUGGGCGGAAGCCUGAUGCAGCAACGCCGCGUGCGGGAUGACGGCCUUCGGGUUGUAAACCGCUUUCGCCUGUGACGAAGCGUGAGUGACGGUAAUGGGUAAAGAAGCACCGGCUAACUACGUG
rnacentral:rRNA from 1 species